AGGGCGCAUGGCGGAUGCCUUGGCGUCGGCAGGCGAUGAAGGACGCGGCAAGCUGCGAUAAGCCCCGGGGAGCGGCAGGCGCGCUUUGAUCCGGGGAUUUCCGAAUGGGGCAACCCGCGCACCGUCACUGGUGCGCAUCCCCGCCCGAACACAUAGGGCGGGCGAAGCUACACCCGGGGAAGUGAAACAUCUCAGUACCCGGAGGAACAGACAUCAACCGAGAUUCCCCAAGUAGCGGCGAGCGAACGGGGAUCAGCCUAAACCGGGGCGCUCGCGCCCCGGGGUUGCGGGACCCGCGCAAGGGAACGGAACGGGCCAGGGGAAGCCUCUGGAACGCCGCGCGAUACAGGGUGAGAGCCCCGUACCCGAAGGCCCCGACCGUCCCGCGGGAAUCCCAAGUAGGCCGGAACACGUGAAACUCCGGCCGAAUCCGGGGGGACCACCCUCCAAGGCUAAAUACUCGCCGACGACCGAUAGCGAACCAGUACCGCGAGGGAAAGGUGAAAAGAACCCCGUCUAGGGGAGUGAAACAGAACCUGAAACCAUGCGUCCACAAACUGUCGGAGCCCCUCGGGGCCACGGCAUGCCUUUUGCAUAAUGAGCCUGCGAGUUGCUUCUCACCAGCAAGGUUAAGCCAGUGGCGGAGCCGAAGCGAAAGCGAGUGCGAACAGCGCGUCUAGUUGGUGGGAGCAGACCCGAAGCUGGGUGAUCUAUCCAUGGCCAGGCCGAACCCUCCGUAACAGGAGGUGGAGGGCCGAACCAGUUCGUGUUGAAAAACGUUUGGAUGAGCUGUGGAUAGGGGUGAAAGGCCAAUCAAACCCAGUGAUAGCUGGUUCUCUCCGAAAUAGCUUUAGGGCUAGCGUCGCGCCAUAGCGCGCGGGGGUAGAGCACCGAUUGUUCGCGGGCCCUCACCGGGGUACCAACAACUGUCGAACUCCGAAUACCGCGCCGCCGUACCGCGGCAGUCAGACUGUGGGGGAUAAGCUUCAUAGUCGAAAGGGAAACAGCCCAGACCGCCGGCUAAGGCCCCCAAUCCGGCCCGAGUGGGUUUAAGGAUGUGGAGCCGCACAGACAGCCAGGAUGUUGGCUUAGAGGCAGCCAUCAUUUAAAGAGUGCGUAAUAGCUCACUGGUCGAGUGGUUCCGCGCCGCAAAUGAUCGGGACUAAGGCCGGAGCCGAAGCCGCGGAUGCCCCUCCGGGGGCAUGGUAGGAGAGCGUCGCAUGGGGGGCGAAGCCGUCCCGGAAGGGGCGGUGGACUCCAUGCGAGCGAUCAUGCAGGCAUGAGUAACGAGAAGGCGGGUGAGAAUCCCGCCCACCGAAAGUCCAAGGUUUCCUGGGCCAGGCUCGUCCUCCCAGGGUUAGUCGGAUCCUAAGGCGAGGCCGAAAGGCGUAGUCGAUGGACAACGGGUUAAUAUUCCCGUACUUCUCCGCCGGAGCGACGCGGGGACGCGGGACGCUAGGCCGGCCGCCGACUGGUAGUGGCGGUCCAAGCGGGCAGGGCGGACGGCAGGAAAAUCCGCCGUCCACAAGCCCGAGACGCGACGGGGACGGCGCCCACGGGCGCCGGAAGCGGCCGACGCGACACCGACGAGAAAAGCCGCUAAGCGGCGAUGGCGGAGGAUCCGUACCGCAAACCGACACAGGUGGACAAGGCGAGUAGCCUAAGGUGCGCGAGAGAAACCACGUUAAGGAACUCGGCAAACUAACCCCGUAACUUCGGGAGAAGGGGUGCCUCUGGCGGUGACGGGACUCGCUCCCCGAGCCGCCGGGGGCCGCAGCUAAGAGGCCCAGGCGACUGUUUAGCAAAAACACAGCACUCUGCCAACUCGCAAGAGGAAGUAUAGGGUGUGACACGUGACCAAUGCCGAAAGCUCAAGCGGACGGGUCAGCCGCAAGGCGAAGCUCGAAGGCGAAGGCCCGGUGAAUGUCGGCCGUAACUAUAACGGUCCUAAGGUAGCGAAAUUCCUUGUCGGGUAAGUUCCGACCUGCACGAAUCGUGUAACGAUCUGGGCGCUGUCUCAACGUGGUUCUCGGUGAAAUUGUAGUUCCGGUGAAAAUGCCGGAUACCCGCGGCAGGACGGAAAGACCCCGUGAACCUUUACUGUAGUCUGAUAUUGGCAUCCGGCCGUGCAUGUGUAGCAUAGGCGGGAGGCGUCGAAGCGGCCUCGUCAGGGGCCGCGGAGCCACCGGUGAAAUACCGCCCUUGGGCGGUUGAAUGUCUAACCCCGAUCCCGUGCAUCCGGGCGGGGGACAGUGUCAGAGGGUCAGUUUGACUGGGGCGGUUUCCUCCCAAAGCGUAACGGAGGAGCUCGAAGGUCGGCUCACCGCGGUUGGCAAUCGCGGGCAGAGCGCAAGGGUACAAGCCGGCCUUACUGCGAGACCGACGGGUCGAGCAGUCGCGAAAGCGGGACCUAGUGAUCCAGCGGUAGCGUGUGGAAGUGCCGUUGCUCAUCGGACAAAAGGUACUCCGGGGAUAACAGGCUGAUCGCGCCCAAGCGUCCAUAGCGACGGCGCGGUUUGGCACCUCGAUGUCGGCUCAUCACAUCCUGGGGCUGAAGAAGGUCCCAAGGGUUCGGCUGUUCGCCGAUUAAAGUGGUACGCGAGCUGGGUUCAGAACGUCGUGAGACAGUUCGGUCCUUAUCCGCCGCGGGCGUUGGAGAAUUGACGGGAGCACUCCCUAGUACGAGAGGACCGGGAGUGAGCGACCCCUGGUGUUCCGGUUGUCGCGCCAGCGGCAGCGCCGGGUAGCUAUGUCGCGAAAGGAUAAGCGCUGAAGGCAUCUAAGCGCCAAGCCCCCCCGAAGACGAGUUCU
rnacentral:rRNA from 1 species